UACGUAGGGUGCAAGCGUUAAUCGGAAUUACUGGGCGUAAAGCGUGCGCAGGCGGUUGUGCAAGACCGAUGUGAAAUCCCCGGGCUCAACCUGGGAACUGCAUUUGUGACUGCAUAGCUAGAGUACGGUAGAGGGGGAUGGAAUUCCGCGUGUAGCAGUGAAAUGCGUAGAUAUGCGGAGGAACACCGAUGGCGAAGGCAAUCCCCUGGACCUGUACUGACGCUCAUGCACGAAAGCGUGGGGAGCAAACAGG
rnacentral:rRNA from 1 species